AUAGGGAAAAAUGAGAAUUGCACACACAGGAGGCAUAGGGCAGGCACAUACAUGGAGCAUAGGGAAGGCAGACUACAGCUGGAGAUAGGGAAACCGAUCCGGACAACUCUAAUAUGAGCAGUUUACAGGCCUGGAUUUGUGGGAUUUCCAGAAAGGCCUGGGUCUAGGGCAGCAAAAUUUUAGAGGGGCGGCAUGCGACCCAACCACACCUGCAAUGGUUCGGAAGCACUGGGAAUUUGCAGGAGAUACAAUAGUUUUAAAAUGCCAUGUGCACCAAUCACCAGUUCUCCAGACCAGAUGCUGAACAUUUCCGCAUGUACACAAAGGAAGGGGAGGGGAUGGGGGUGAUGAGCGGCAGUAGGCCCAGGGGCACCUGCAUUAUAAAUCCAGCCCUGCCAGUUCAUACUGUGCUACAUACAGUGACACAAUGCUGGUGCCCCUGCAGCAGUUUGCAUUAGGUGUGAACAGUGUGGGCACUUUCAGUCUGAGAUGUGAACAGUAAAAGGCUUUAGAGGGGUUACAGGUGUGAACAGUGCAGUGGGGAUUAGAGGUGUGAACUAUGCAGGAUUUUAAAAUUUGAAGUGUAAUCUGUGCAGUGGCCAGUUAAUCUCAGUACGGAUACAUUUUAAAGCUUGCACCUGGUAAACAGGUUUUAAAUGAUGUAUUAUGGAUAAAAAAGUGUUGGAAUAGAAAUAAUGUUUCUCGUGCUAGGGGUGAUGUUACCAAUUCAGAUACACAGCCGCCCUAAUGCAGUAAAGGCCCAUGUUUCCUUGUGAAGCUCCAUAUGUCUUAUCUUGACCAGCCUUUUCCUUGGUUCCUUGGUGCCACCCGAGCUCCACAUUCUCCACUUGUACAGGGCCACUGGUGCUUUCUGGGAAACGUGUCAAUCAUGUGCAUGAAGGAUUAUGUCUUGAGUGAGGAGAGGGUAAGAGACUACUUUCUAGUCUUAAAAUAUAAUAACAUGUAUUGAAUAUGUUUACUGAAACUCUGUUUCUGCAUUCCAGAUAUUUCAGAGCUUGGAGGACCAUCACCUGGACUCCCAUGCCCUCAAACUCAGACGGAAUGGGAAGAAUUUGACCUCCAAUCAGUUUCUAAUGCAGACAGUUGCCAAGCAGUUUGGCCUAAAAGAUGAGCCACUUUCCAAUUUUUGUAGCUCUCUUAGGUAAGUAGAUGAAGUAGCAGCAGUGUGAAGAACACGUCCAGUAGUGCCCUAGACCACAAGCUUCCAAUUUAAGUCAAUGGGAAAUUGCAACAAAUUCUUCAGCCUUUUGAUUAGCCUAAAGAAUGAAAUAUAUCCUAUACAGAUACUAGCCUCUUUUAAUGGAACAGUCAUUGAUGUGUACCCUCUUUAUGGACCCAGCAUUUUGCCGCUUUAGUGUUUUCAGUGCUGUGAACAUACACCAAACCACUCCAAAUUGCCACCCCCACCCAAUUAAUUUCUGUAGAAAUUGCUUGUGCCUGUAUACAUUAUUGCAUUAGCUAGCACUUGCAAGCUGUUCCCAUAAGAAUGAAUUGGCAAACAUAUUGCUCAAAAAACCUUUGGUGUUCCAUUACACUUAUAGGAGGGAAACGAUAUCUUGUCUUGUUAUCUCACGUUUUCCACAAAGUGCAUUCAUACAUUCACUUUAUCUUUUCCCUUCAGUUUUCUUGGUCUAUAAUUUGCCUUCAUCUCCCUUGUGCAGUUAAGUUUUGUUUAGUAACCCUUUCCACAAUAACUUCUCCCAACUUAUUGAAAUACAUUUUGCAUAUAAAUGUAGCUGCAGCCUACAAGUGUUUACCAGCCCUGUCAAGUCUUUAUAGUAAAGACACUGGGAUAACAGAAUUUAUCUUUAAAGGAACAGUAACACCAACAUUUUUUAACACUUAAUUCAUCCUCAAAUAGCUAUAGUACUAGGUCAGGUUUACUGGAGUGACUGCAUGUUUAACAGAACAGAAAACUACUUCCUGCUUUGAAGCUCACUUGGUUUCCACUGAUUGGGUUUCUUAAAAAACAAGAACAUGAGUAGAUUUCACUUUCAUUCUUCUUUAACUUUUUAGUGUUUCUUAUUUGUUCCAUUCUCAACCCACCCACCCCAUCUAUAUGUUACCCCUCCCAAAUGUGACCAAUACCCAGAAUAAAGACACACACAAAGCAACUUGAUGUUAAA